CUGCUGCCUCCUGACACAGUUUACACGUCUUCAGUUUGUGGGUGUACCAGUAUUUUUUCAAACAUCCUAUUUUCUGUUCCUGAAUCUUUCAAAGGGCAUUUCAGCUCCGCUGUGAACAAUAAGGGCCACGUAGGGGCCAGCCAGUGGCAGAAAUGACGACUUUCAUGAUCAUAACUUCAUCUGAAAAUGAACGUAGCCUGCAGCUCAUGCAUUCAUGGGUUUUGUGGACGCAGACACAAUGCCAGUAGAGAGAAUGAGGAUGCGGCCGUGGCUGGAGGAACAGAUCGACUCCUGUCAGAUACCAGGGCUCAAAUGGGUUAACAAAGAAAAGAGAAUCUUCCAGAUCCCAUGGAUGCAUGCUGCGCGUCAUGGCUGGGACCUGGAGAAAGAUGCUCCGCUCUUCAUGAGAUGGGCCAUACAUACUGGUAAAUACCAGCCAGGCAUAGACCGUCCAGAUCCCAAGACGUGGAAGGCUAAUUUCCGCUGUGCCAUGAACAGCCUGCCAGACAUCGAGGAGGUGAAGGAUAAAAGCAUCAAAAAGGGAACUAAUGCCUUCAGGGUCUAUAAGAUGCUCUCCUCCUCAGAGAGAAGCAUGAAGAAAGGAAAGAAGAAGACAGACAAAGAGGGGAGGCCCAAGGGAAACAAAGAGGUAGCUUCUCCAUCUCCAGACAGGACUCCAUCUGAUGCUCCUGUUGGACCCAUUGACUUCACCAAACAGGAAGUGAUCAAGCAGGAAACAGUAGAGCUUACAGUGAUGGACAACGCCUCAGCCAUUCACAGUUCGGUAGAAGACCAUGUGAUCACCAGCGAGCAGCUUCCAUUCGUCUGUCAGACGAUUGAAGUGACCACAGAGAACGAAGAGCAGACUGUUAGCUCCUCCCACUCGUACCCGCUCCAAAUCUCUCCCGUGUCUUCAUGCUGCGGCAGUGACACAGACAGUGACACAGAGGACACUAAAGAGGUCUUUCUUCAGAAGAUCCACUUCAUGAAGGUCACCCGUCUGGACAAAUUCAGUUGGUUAGAGACACAUCUGCAAUCUGCUUGUACAUUGUAUAAUACAAUUAUACAUCUUAUUUGAGGCUGUGGAGCGCAGAGAACUUUAAUUCUCCAGGUUUUCACAGCCGUCACAUGAAAUGCCUCCAAUGAUUUCCUCGUCACUGUUUGCGCACAGGAUGUCUACAGUUUUGAGGGAGGUGCAGGAGUAAAGGUUCAUGACUGCUCGCACUGGUCCAUCUGAAUCUUCAUCGAUGACAUCACUCACGGGGGAGGGGGAGGGGGGAGAGGGAAAGGAUGGAGGCAGUUUUUACAUCCUCCUCCUGCUGCAAAGAGAGGACACGUCGUGUAAAUAUAAAACCCUGUUGUAAAAUACAGACAAAAUUGCAGCCAGGCUGUUUGUAUCUUCAGGGUGGAUUCCCGAGGUCACAGGUAGAUGGAAAGGCUUGGAUAAGAAUCAGAGGAUCUGCAGUCUUUGUAAUGACAACCUUCUGGGAGACAAGUAUCACAUUUUGUAAUGUAAGAACAUAAGCAUAAUGGAUUAUAGAGAAAAGUACUCGUAACACAGUGUUUUUAUUUUGUUUGUACUCCAAAUCACGCAGUCUUGGUCUUGAGUUCAAAUAAAUCUUAAACUGGGAAUAUGCAACAUAAAAGCACAGAGCUGAUAUAAUGAAUGUCUUAAAGGAACAGUUCAGCAUUUUGGGGAAAACCCUUACUAAAUUGGCUUUCUUGUUGUGAGUAGAUAACAAGAUUGAUACCACUCUUGUAUCUUUCAGUUGAACAUGAAGCUAAAGCCAGGAGAUGAUUUUCUCAGCAAGAAAGCAAAUAAGUAUAUCUCCUGAAAUAUCAAAAUAUUCCCAUAAAACUGGAUUAUGACACCAGGACCUUCUUCAAGACAGGGCCUGAGGAGUAGGUGAUAAAGCAGGAGCUUGAAAAACAAACAAGUAGGAGAUACGUUUGUUUCAGUGGAGGCUGUUAAAGUCAUAAGCUAGUAAAAUGUAUGCACUCAACAUGUCAAAAUUGUUGUGUGACUUUUUCUUCAGGUAGCAUUUCUUCUGCAUGUUGUCCUGUGAAGAUAAAGUUGGCAAGUCCCUAAAACGAGUUUCAUAUUUGUUUGAAGAAUAAAGUGUUUUGAGUAUAGAUUACGUCAGGCUCCCUUGUUCUGUAUGACUUCAACUGUUGUGGGAUUGGCCAAGGGUUUCAUGUGUUUGAUGACAAUAACACAAUGUCGAAUUUCUAUUAGCUUUCUGCUUCAGUGGUUUUGUAGUUUCCUCGAUAUCAUAUUCUUACUUUGUCAGCUCUUUUUCAAACAUCAAGAUGAUUGAUACCUUACUUAAAUUAUUUCAUAAUACUUAGCCUUUAUAUCCUGUGUUGUGCAAAGCUAGGCCAUACCAUCAAAGAGCUGAGUGCACAUAUGACAUUGAUACUGAUUUUCUGUGAGACAGCAAAUAAGACCUGGGGUGCUAGAUGAGAAAUGUGAGUCCCAAAGUAUUUCUUCAUAUCAUUUUUAAAUUCAUCUACAUGUAGCCUUGUGCACCCAAUGCUGUUUCAUAUUGUACCUUAUGAUCUGUCUUUAUAUUAUACAGUAUUUUAGAAAUUUUCUCCACUUGAUGUAGACGUACAACUAUUUUUAAGUUUAAACUGUACUGUUGCUGUGACAUCCAAACAACCCUUAACACAGCAAGCUGCAUAACAUCAUGUUAGCUUGAUUAGCUAAUGUAUGAAAAAAAACUUUCGUUACUACUGUAAACCUGAAUCUGUACCUACUCUGAAUGUACCAUCAAAUGACUACAGAAUACAUUUACAACAAUACAUUUUUUUCCUCCAGAGAUUGCAUUCCUCUCAGUUAGCUAACAUGCUACAUGUAGCCUUCUGCACUUAAAGCUGUUUCACUUUGCACGUUAUUUUCUGUCCUGCAUGUUUUUAAAUCAUCUCCAUUUGGUACAGAGGUUGUCAAAUUGUUAACAAGUUCAUAUAAACCAAACUGUUGUGUUACACAACAACAAAUAACCUUGAACAUUCCCACUGAUAGCAGGCUGCUAACAUCAUAUUAGCCCGAUGGACUGAGUAGCUAAUGUAUGAAGAAAGUUGGCCUUGGCUACUACUGGAACUCUGAAUCUGUUGCUACUGUGAAUGUGACAUUCCUGCACAGCAGUUUCCUGCCCUACAUAAAAAUGACUACAGAAUAUCAUUAUUAUUCCCUUAGUCAUUGCAAAUAGACCUAUUAUUGCCUCCAGCUUUCAGACACAUUGUGACUUAGCUCAGUAGCUUAGAAAACCUUUUCACUGAAUUCACUGUGAUAAAGUUAUUAAAUUACGAUAAACUAUCAAAUCAAUAGUGUAACCUGCCACUACAUCAACAAUAACAGAUACAUCUACAUAAAACAAUAUUAACCUACAAUGUAAACUCGCACAACAGAUUUUAAUGGUUCACUGGCCUCGUAAACACAACACUGACAUAUUAUCACCUUCUAAAUUUGGUAUGGCGAACAUGUUAGCAGCUAGUAGUGGCUUAUUUACACAUCCAGCAGACUGGAGCAACAUUAGCAUUCAUUUGGUUCAUUUUGUUUGUGUCCACAUGCUGAAUGCAAGUCCAACAUUCACUCGCCUUAGCUCUGUUUUGGUCUCCACCAGCUCUUAAGUGAAAUAUCUGGCUAUUUAGCGGCUAAAUGCUCCACUAUGUUCACCAGCAUAGGCGCUAACUUUGUCUGUUUUUCGUUUGGUGCUGGGCACGAAGUGUACAGUGGAGCUUUUUUCCCCCGCUGAAAACAGCUGCAUCUGGAAACAUCUCUGAUGAGAGCGUUGAGACUGAACCAAAACAGUAAAGUUGCGGGCUAUGAAACCAAAACAAUGAGCUGAAAGACGCUGAAACACUCAAAUUCAGAAUCAGUCUUGGCCUUAAAUUUGAGGUCAUCACUGCCUGGUGCAAUGUAACUUUGUGGACAUGCCAUCACACUACGGACCUGACAACAAUAUACAAGCAACCUCAUCGCCAGUUCAUAGUGGAUGAAUUUGCAAAAUCCUGGAUUAUGCUCAAUGACAAACAUUUUUGAUGUUCAACGCCAACUUUUUUAACAGGCACUCCACCAAAUUUACACGAGUACACAUUUACUCAACAUGAGGAAUGCUUUUCAGCCUGCGAAAACAAUUGUGUAAUGUCCACUUUAGCUGUUGGGGGAGCUUGCUAUAGUCUGAGAAAAUAACCCUGAUGAUGUCAUCAAGGUCAUCACAUUUUUAUACACAUACACAUUUGUAACAGAAAGCAUGCGUUACAAACUGGGAGUGCAGUUUGAAAGAUGUGUGCGUUUAUCAGGUAGGGAGGGUCUAACAAAAGAUGCUAUUGAGUUGCAUCAUGGGAAAUGUAGGACCCAGCAUUUUUGGAGUUUGACCCAUCUUAGGGACUAAAAGUCAGGAUAUCGCAGCCUCUGCUGCUUUAAUUUUGGCCAUUCUUUUUAAAAUGUGCCUCAGUUUUUCACUGCCAAAUCCUUGGAGUAUCUCUUUAAAAUUCUUUAUUUCUACAAUAUCUGCGCAUGACGACUAUGGUACACUCAAGGUUAGGGAAAGAUCGUGUUUAUGGUUAAAACAUAAAUAAAUACAAAUGCAAAAUCUGACUUUAAUAAUAUUCAAAUAUGAAUAUUAUUAAAAUCAGAUGUGCUACCAUUCACCAUCUUGAUCUGCACACCCUUACUCUCUGCCUCAUUUCAUUAAGGGCACACACAAUUCCUAGGGACGCCGGGUUUACACAAGCAUAACAGUAUGAGCUAAUGCUAACAGUGUAGAGGGUCUAACACAACAUCAGAGUGUAGCUACAAGCAUGCCUAACCCAUGAUAGGUCUCACUAGUUUCACAGCAAACUAAGACACUUCUUUGUCCCAGCAGGGAGCACAAACCUGGACACGGUAAAAUGAUAAAAUGAUGACUGGGCAUGACAUUGCACUGUAGCACUAAUUUGUUUCAUUUCUCAUACAAAUGAACAAGGCUGCUGAUGCUAAUAACCUUCACUUACAGUAGAGUAAGCCUGUGUGGCCAGUGGAGGUCUCUGCCUACUGACACAUAAACUUAUGAAAUACCAUCACUAAACCAGGGACUGAGCCUCUGUUUCUGAUUUGGUUUGUCACUAUGGAACACAAACAAACUGCUGUGUAUGCUGUUUGCUCUGUAUAGCAUGCCAAAAGACACACAACGGGCACUGACCAUGCAAUGUCUCCUCACUGCCCGGAGUGUUUGGAUGCAUCCAACGGAAUCGUCCUGGACCUAAAAGAAGCAUUGUUGUUCACAGGAUUAAAUGAUUGGAUUGUCUGAGUGUAGUGGCACCCAAAUCCCAUUUUACUACAACCAGCUGGAGUGGAUGGGCGCACAGCUCCGUCAUAUUCUUCUCUGACAUCACCGCCAGAAGCAGCAAUUGAAGACAAAUCUGUUUAAUAGACUCUCCAGAGGUCUUUGGAGAGGACUUGGAGCACCAAAGGCAAUUCUCACCAGGGGGAAACGGAUGUAUUACUGGUCGAUUCAUUCUUUACCCCUGCAGAAAACGUUUCAGGAGAGGGUGGGCAAAAAUGGCAAGAGGAGAUUGCUCUUACAUUCACAUCACACGGAAAAUGUGUUUCCGUUUUACACAAUUCAUGUACAAAACCCACUUUCAAAACGCAUUUUUAUGAACAUGAAACAGCAGAUUGUUCCUUUGUGCCCUGAACACAUACUUCUUCUACACUACGUUCUUUAGGCCUGGAAAUGUAGGGCUGCAAUAUUAGCAAGAAGAGCUGAUAGGAGGAAGAUGGGGAGAGAUAAGUAGACUUGUAAUUGUUGGUUUUGGUGUGCUGUUACAAGUACUACAGGUGAGAAGGUGAAAUACAAACCAGGAAGUCGAGUUUAAAGGCUUACCAGACACAAAGACUCUGGAAAGUUUGUAUUUAAAAAAAAAGUUGUAUGCUCCCAAGUGGCAACCUCCUGGCUGAAAAAUGAAGCCAAUGUGGAAGUGCAAAAAACGAAUGGCCACUUGAGGCUCCAAAAGCGAUAAUCCCCAUAGAGCCCCAUGUUAAAAAUGCCCAACUUUACAGCAGACAUGUUUACAGCCUGGUAUAAAAAAUGGUUUUGGUCUCUACAGCUUAUUUCCCCGUUAAUGACAUUUGUAUGGGGGGAGAUUUUUUUUUAUAACUCACCCAUUUAAAUUAUAUUAAGGCUUAAAGUUAUGCAUAAUUAAGGACGUGGCCACUUUGAGUGACAGGCGGGUGCCCUCUCAGGCGGCUAGCCACUAAGAUGGUUCAGUAACCACCAAAAAGUACUUAUUAAUCCAGGUACAACGUCUCAGUAGUGGACAGAAAACAAAUCCAUCUAAAAGCUAAGAGUUAAAGAAGAAAAGAUCUUCAUAUUUAUCGUAGAAAAGGUUUCAGUCGUAGUCAUCUGGACACUGUUUUCAGAAUCAAGACGUUUCGGCUCCCAUCCGGAAUCUUCGUAUUUACUGUGUGAUAUUUAAGUGUGAAGGAUAACAGGUGCACUGUCUCAGAGCUCUAUAUGGGAAGUAUAUACAGUAAUUACUGUGUAACAAGACAACAAAUUGACAAUGGGUAACACUUCACUUUAACCCCCUCUCACCUAUUUAGCGUAUAUAUGCACUAUACAAACAUAUAAUAAAUGGUUUAUAACACAAGCAAAUCAUUCAAUUUCAUUUAAAAUCUUAUAAUACUUUUCUAGCAAAAAGCUUUCAGCUCAUUGUUUUGGUUUUACGGCCCGCAAAGUUUUUAUUCACUCUCAGCACUCUCAUCAGUCUGGUUUGCAGUGGCAUCAGGCAGCUGUUUUCAACAAAAAAGCUCCAAUAAACCCACAGUGUGCUACCUGCCCAACACCAAAUAACAGACAGACAAAGUUAGCGACUAGCUGGUGAACAUAGUGGAGCAUUUAGCAGCUAAAGAGCCAGAUAUUUUUUUAUCAGAGUUGGAGGAAACCAAAACAGAGCUAAAAGUGAGUGAAUAUUGGACUUACAUACAUUAGGUGGCCAGAAACACGACUCCAAAUACAGUCUAUGCUAAUGUUACUCAGUGACUGCUGGAUGAGUAAACAGAUAUUUGUUUGCUUACAUGUUUGCCAUUUCAACUGCAUGCGGUGAUAAUACUGUAUGUCACUGUUGUGUUUGCAGCUUGUUGCGCUGCCCCCAUGUAGGCAAAAUAUCAAUAAAUGCAGGUUUAAAGAAUCCGUUUUGUUUCCUGACGUAACUGUUCUUACACCCAACUGGUGGAAUUUUUUUUACUUGUUUUGCAAUGAAUGACGUACAACAAGGAUAUUCACGGUGCAGGAGGAGCAGGUACAGAAAAGAGAACAAGAAGGGGGAACAUGCAGAGAAGAAGAGAGAAGCAAGUGGAGGGUGAGGAAUGAAAGAAGGAUGGAAAUAAACAAGCGAGACAAUACAGUAUUAUUAUGCAAAGAAGACAUUUACUUAACUGCUCAUCACCGUUCAUAAUGAAACAGACAUUUCAAUAUUUUCUUUGCCUUCACUGCACCACAUUUAGCCCUGACCACCAAGUCAUUGUUUUUCUUUCCUGCAUGUGAUUGUGUGUGCAUGUAGGUGAGAGACAGACAAAGAGAUUGCUUGGGAUGGAUUAACAUUUGAGGCCAUUUACCGCAUCCUAAUAAUAACUGCUUGGUUUCCAAUAAGAUCCCACCAAGCAGAAAAUCAGUAAUCAUACUCGCUUUUAUUUCUCCUCACUGUGGAAAAAAACAACAUUUUCAAGCUCAGAGAGCGAGAACAAGACAGAGAGACAAAAACAAAAGAAGACAGAGAGAGAGAGAGAGCAGGAUGGAGGUACGGAGGUGAAUGAAAAUAUGAAAUAGAUGUUUAGAGAAAAUAUUAGAAAGAUGUUGAACUCUCAAGCUGUUUGGUAAAAUUAUAUGUUCAAUAUCAGUAUUUAAUUCAGUUUACAGCCACGAAAUAAUGAACGUUAUAAAUAUCUCAAAAUGCCAUGCAAUAAUUUCCCCCUUUUAUAUAGAAAUCUUCCGUAUCCUAACCAGUUACCCUAAACACAACCUUUACCAUCACUCUUUUUCAAUUCUACCCUCACUCUAGUCUUGCAAAAACUAUAAAAUAAUUGUUCCUUUCAUCAAGUGUGGUGUAAGUUCAUUGAGUUUGCUGGAAAGUAAAAAAAAAAAUCAAUGACCACCUCAGUGAUGGAGCCAAACCAAACCAACUGACAUAUCAAUUAGUAAAGCAAACGGCAAAAAAACCUGGCUUCAGGGUACCAAGGCUCCACAUGGAUGCUUAAGCAAGCCAUUUGAUAAUUGGAGCACAGAUGGUGUGUAACAGAGCUACAAGUCCAUGAACCAGCCAGGGAGGACAGCUUUCUGAAACAGAAAAACAAAUUUAGUCAGAUAUGGAGUUUCAUUUGGCAACUCGGAGGGAAAAUCUAGUUCUCAAACUUGUUUCCAGCAAACAGAACUAAGACUCAUCAUUGGUAAAGCUCAACAAAUCACGUUACGUGCCAAAACAUACUUUUUUUUUUGACACAGAAUGUGUCAUUUGAUGCACGUCAAAACAGCCACUCCUAUUAUUUUCUAUGCAAACCCACACACCGGUGGAGAGGCGCCGCUGUCCUAUUUUUCCAGCUUUGAUGGCGGUCAACACUCUCAGAAAGCAGAGUCUUUCAGAGUUGUUCCCUGGAUUGGCACAUCCCAGCUACUGUCCCUUGUUUCUUCUCUUGUCAAGUGAUAGCAUGCCUUCUUCUGUGGGCAGUUAGCUGUCACAAUGGAUGAGGAGAAACUUAUUGCUGAGGUAGAAAAACAUCCAGACUUCUACAAGCUGCAGGCAUGGCUGUAGAAAGAUAAUGCAAAGGCCAACAUUUUCUGGUGAGUCAUACCUGGAGAGAUUGAGACUCCAUUGUGAGGAAAGUGAAAUAAUCCUCAAAUAACUCAUGUAUUUAGGACAGCACUCCAAAUUCACAUUUACGAAUAUACUCAGGUAAAGGUGGUGUAUGCCAUUCUAAUCAAAUACACGUCUUUUUGUCAAAUUCACCUCACGGUCGGCUAGCUGUCCGGUGUUUGUACACAGCCCUGGCCCUGUAAAUGAGAAACAAAGCGGCUCGGAUUGAGCCACACAACACUAUUCCAGCCACUCCAGCCAUUCCAGCCGUGAUUUGUUUGCCAGGUAACAUUAAAUGACUUGCCCACGGACAUUCAGCUUACUUUCUAGUUUGCCAAGAUAUGCUGUUGUCGGUGUCUCCAGAAUCACAUAACAUGCAUCACCCUCACUCUCCUGUUAGUUCUGUUGCAGCUCACACCUUGUUAAUAUUACUGCAUAGAGUUUGGUAAUAUCACAUAAUACCCUUCAUAGUUCCACCCAACCAACUUGAGCUGAGGUCUAAUCAUUUCAACUGAAAAUACAUGUGUGGGGGAACGGGGCGUUUGCACGGAAAUGUAAUGCUUCAUUCUUUUGCACAUUCAUUCAUAGUCACUUUUCACAAACCUGAUCUUUUAAAUAUGUGAGAAAAAGCUUCAUCACAGUUUUUGAAGUAGUUGCCCAGCAGCAGCCCUACAGCCCUCACGAAAGAAAGUAAAAAACCAAUGACUUUGAUCAGAUUUACCGACUCACCAUCAGCCACAGGUUCUGUCAUUUCUCAUUCUUCUUGAAGGGGCACUUCCAUAAUGUUGGGGGUGAGAGACAAAAACAAGACAAGAGUCUCCAUACAUGCUAGCGGCUCUGCAAGGCUGUACUUAGGCACAGCGGUGCUUUGAGCUAAAUGCUAAUGCAGCAUGCUAACAUGCUCACAAUGACAACAUACUGAUGUUCAUCAGGUAUAGCAUGCUAAAAUUUGCUAAUGAACACUCAUAAAGUCAUAAAGUAUUGGACAAAUUAAAAAAUCUGAGCUAGUGCAGGGCCAGCUCUCCAUUAUCCAGGUCCCUUACCACCCCCAUCAAUUAAAAUUCUUCCCUGAAUAUUAAUGUUGAUUAUUAUUCUGUGUUAUAUAAUUAAAAAAGCAUGUCACUGAAUGCCAAAUAACAGAUUUGAUUUCAUUGGACAAAGAAUCAGGCCUGGCGACAGGAUAAAGUGACUGAGGGGGCUGUUAGAAAUUGCAAGGGGGCAAUUUUUUAAAUAAUAAAAUUGAAUUCAUUGAUUUACCCAUGCACUAGCCUCAGAAAGGCUAAAAAACAACAACAUACUGUUUCAAAAUCAUAUAAUACAUUUAUUAAUUAGGGCACUCACGUGAGAACACUAGCAGAGCGCUCUGUCAAAUCAGAUGGAGGCAUGUUGAAACAGCUGUUUGCAGCUUACAGCUCUCUUUCUCUGUCUCUCUCUCGUUGGCUGUCCCUUCACUUUCCUGUAGCCCACACACAACAGACAGCGCUGUCCACUGUGCAGAAACAACAGCUAAGCGAUAGUCACACGUAUCUCGGCCAAUAAUUUAGUUGUUUUUGCUAUUUUUCUAUAAAUACAUAAAGCUUAAACAGAGGGGGCAGAAAAUACAACUGAGGGGGUAAGCCCCCUUAAGACUCCUUGUGGCACCGGGCCCGGUUGGAAGAUCAUUAUCAUUAGUUUCCCCGGGAGCAAAAAAGCCAUGUGAAUAGAAAUUAUAUUUAUGAGUGUGCAGCAGUUAGAAAUUUGACAUUCAAACUUAGUUCUGGUUAUUGAUCACAAACAGCAGCCAAUCAGAAAUGCCAAACAAGAAGCAUUCUUAUUAAUUGUUCCAAUUGAGAAUGACUUCCGGAUGGGAGCCAAAACGUCUUGAUUCUGAAAACAGUGUCCAGAUGACUACGACUGAAACCUUUUCUGCGAAUUGUUCCAAUGUUAAACAAGAGCAGCCUACCAAGGAAAAAGUCUGAGGCUGCUGAAAAAAAAGCAGAAGGAUAUGUAGGCUAUCCUAUAUUAUAGGCCUAUUUAUCUUAACUUUCAAAGGAAAUAAGGUAAAUUCCUUUGAAAGGUAAUGUGACCCCUGUGAGAAGUUAUUUUCAGCUGUAGUGUCCAAGUCCAAGCGAUUGCGGUACUUGGACUACAUGUGGAGGACAUGGCUGAAUCCCUGCUCAACAAAAUCAGUUGUUGGGAAACCAAGAAGAAGCAGCCUGCUCUUCUCCCAGAGAGCCAGGUAACGCUGGGUAUAUUUGACCCACAUGCUGCCCCAGCCAGAGGUGUAGAAAGUAGCCUGGGCCUUGAUGCUCCUGGAUAGUGGGCUCGCAUUCACCUGAAAGGGCCACACCACCCAGACGGGAACAUCGAGGUUCAGGAGGUCCCUGAAGCGGAUCUCUAUGUUGGCCUUGACCGUCCUCAGGUGGUCGGUGUAAAUGAGGAGGCGGUCAUUGGUAAGACACCUGCAAUGAGUAUAGAUAUAGACAUAGAUAUAGUAUACAGAUUUUUAGACUAUCCAAUUUUGAACUGGUUAUUUUAUUGCUAAUUAGUCUACUAAUAAACGUUUCUUUAUAUUUAUAUUGCAUGUAUAGGCCUAACACUAACCCUACCCCUAAUCCUGUUUUACUUUUCAGAAGUCAAUAUAAUAAACAUAAUAUAUUCAUAGAAAUAAAAUAUAUUAAUUAUAAUAAUAGCGGGCCUAUUAUAUCUAUUUAGCGUUUCUGAAAAAUAGUAGGUCACCUUGGUCAAGUGCGGGAAAUGAGCAAUGAGCCUGGAGGUGAGACUGUGGAUGACAGCCUUGCUCUGGACCAGACUAGACUCAAUUUCCUUGGACCUUUAGCAUGAGGUACAUCAUGUACCUCUGUGAGGCUGGAUGACACCUUUUCCCUGAGAGCUGCAUCAACCUCCUCCAGGAACUCCACGAUGCUGUCAAACAGCUCAUUAAAACAAGCAAGCGGACAUCAGUGUGGAGAAGAAGACGCUCAAAGGUCUCAUCGUUUUCCUGACACAGCUGUCGGAACAGUCUGUCAUUCGGGGCAUGGGAUUUUGUUUUGUUUAUUGCCUUGACUGCAACAUCGAGAGACUCGUGGAGAGCUGGACCUUUACGCUUGGCCCACACUGCCCACCUCUACCUGUGCGUGGCGGCUGCUUCGCUGACAUGCUGCGGCUCGCAUGUCCACACAGACAGUGUUGCUGCUGCGGUGCUGCCCUAUCUUUUUACAUUUCCUAUAAUAAAUACAAUACAAUAAAAGCCUUGUUAACAAAUGAAGGGAUUCUGUCCACAGAAACACUACAGGCCUUUUACAGUUUUUCUCAAUUGCUAAAACACUAAAACGCAUUGGCUGAACAAAGUUCUCAGUUGCCUGACCUCAUUUAGCUAAUUGUGCAGUCUGCUGUCAAUACUUUAAACCAUUUCACAUGGUAAAACACAAUUUGCAGAUCUCACUUAGACUUUUCAGUAAAACUCUAAACACAUUCACAUUCUCAAAACCUAUUCUGCACUCUAAUGCACAUGUCAGCCAUACUGGUAAACACAAGUGGCAACAAUCAAAUACAAACGGAGAACACAUGUCAUUGAUUGAACACAACCACUCAAAACUGAUGUAACCUGUUUCAAAUGAUGUGACACAAAGCCAACAUCAGCCUAAUUUUUGUCCCUUUUAGUGUUGUAUACUGCAGUACAGCGCAUUGUAGGCUGUAUACUGUACAAUGAGCAAAUUGUGUGGUCCUGAACAUUGUGCUUUCCAUUUGUUAACAGUACUGUCUGCUCAAUAGAUUUUGACUGGUUGCAGGUUCAUAUCAACAAAGAACAAGAAUUACAGUAUCACAGAGACAAAGGACCAGAUGCAGGGUGCAGUACUGUAAAAACAGGGGUACAAGGAGGAGGAAGAACAACAAAGAGCAAAGCAGAGGAGUCAUUUCUGAUCAAUUUUGAUCUACUAUGAUAGAACAUGUUUUCGUUCAUCAAAAGACAACGACGGAGAAAUAUUACAUUUGUUUUGAGAUUACAAAUGCACUUCUCCCUGAGAACUAUGUUUUGAACAAUGUUCACUUUGUUUAUGAUUUGAAAGCAGUGCUUGAUUUUGAACACAGGUAAAACUGUUUUGAGGCAAAAGUUUAAUUUUGCGAGAGGAGUCAGAGAUUUUGUGUUUAAUGGUUUCAGAAAUUGGAACAAGGUUCCAGAAAUUGAAAUUUCUAGCUUCAGAAAUUUUAGCAAUUGAGAAAAACUAAUUUGAAACGGAUACAGGAGGUAUUGAGUUGUGUGGCAUAUUCCACAGAUAUAGACAUCAAUGAUAACUGUAGUGUAGUGAAAGGCACAUGCUUUGCUGGUAUGAUGUCGAUAUGACUAUGAACAGAUCAUUUUCACUGUGUAUUUUUGCUGAGAACCAUGCGUGUCGUGGAAAAAAUAGGCGAGACCCAGUGGCGGGUGGUGGAAAAUCUUCUAGGUUGGGCUGUGCCCCAUCCAAUCAAUUUCAGCAAACAUCCCAGUAUGAUUAAAUGCAAAAAAGUGAAGGUAUCAAAAAGGAAUUACUACUUUGCAGUUAAAUAUUUAACAAUCAUUUUAUUCCAACAUAAAAUAAAGCAGUAAGUAAUGGCUGAUGCAUCUUAUUUUGGUCAACCACACAGGCAAAUUCAGUAUAAUAUGAAACAUGUAAUAGAAAAUGUUUAUUUCUUGAGAUGCCCCUAUGGACCUUGUUUUGUUUGGGAAACUAACAGGGAGGCAAAGAUCAGGAUAAGUAAACAUGAAGUGCAAUUAGUAGUGUUAAGUUGCUAUUCAGACACUGGAAUGCUCUGAGGUGUAGAGAUAGUAAACUCCAGCAAACUUCUGCUUCAAAACUCUCUCAAAAGUGAAUAAAAUUGAAUUAUACUCAAAAAUAAAUUGUGGGGUCCCUGAUAACCAAAACAACACAGUUAACAGAAGGGAAUAACCAAAAUAAUAACAUAAACAACCUUGUAAAUAUCAAUUGAUGUCUCACACAUGGAAUCAUUUGAGAUUUGUUUUAAAAUGUCAACUAUGCACAUCGCACAAAAACACACACUGGGGCUGAACAUGAACAAAUGCACACUGCCGUCAGAGUUUGACUACAUCUGCUUGAUACCUGGUUAUUCAUUGUCUUCAAUAUGAACUCAAAAAAACACCUGUUGGAUGUUACUGUUGGCGUCGAUGUAGCUUAGCACAAGCACCAGCUGGCAGUGGGUGGAAAUGUCAGUCGUCUCGUCUGCUUGAAUGGCAAUAAAAUCAGCGCCCUUUACUUCCUCCAGAAUGUAAUCUUUUAGCACUGACAGCAUGCAGUGCAACAGCUUCUUUCGUACCGUCUUUGACGUGCCUUUAAAAACGGUAACGCAAGUUAGCAGGUGCUCCUCCAGCACACUGUCUAGGGAGACAACAAAAUCCACCAAUCGACUGAAAAUGCCAGGGUUGUCUGAGGAGUCAGUCUCAACAUGCCCUUGCAAGGCCGACUCAAAAGCCCCACAAAACUUCACACAACUGAUUACUUUGGAUAAAAUGUGCCUGUUUUUAUCCACCUCCUCACUGUGUUUGCGCACCACAAUCCUGUGGCUGUCAUCCGGCUGCAUAGUGAUGUUCACUCUGCCUAAUGUGGCUUACAUUAGCUUGACAGAAUUAUCCUUGUGUGUCCUGGUGUUCUCAUGUUUACUUACUUUCUCAGCUUCAUAUCCCUUUCUCCUGUAACUGUCCAUGCUGGAUCUGUCCCCGUUGUUUAAAAAAGCAAGCACAGAAAGCAAAAUAAGACAUUAGCAUGGUGUACCAACUACGAGAGAAGGCUCGCACAAACUGCUUCCCUUUUUCGCCAGCCUGCUGUCUGAUUGCAAGGUCAAGUUGAUUUGGGCCCAGCUCUUUCACCUGUAGUUUCUCCGCCAAAGUUCUCCUCUCAAACGGAUCUUUGAGUAAGUCAAUGAUCGCGCUCGCCAUUGUCAUGUAGUUAAAAUGGCGGUAGAGGUCCUGACCAUGGGCAGUAUGAAAAAAGGUCCUGACUAGCAGUGGCUUGCUUGGGGCGAUAAAAUAAUCGGAUUAGAUUUGAAGAUGCUGAUUGGCAAAAUUUUAUGUCAUACGUCCAUAUCUUUGGCUAAAUUGCUACACAGACCCGCCUCCUGUGGGCGAUUUCUCCAUUGCCCCAGAGCAGCUGAGACAUGCAGACAGGCAGAGGGAACAUGUAGGAAAAGCACAUAUGUAGUGCAGAUGAUUUUCUAUCAUAUUUUACACAUAUUACUGAGUGCAUUCCAUAUUUCAAACACACAAAUAUUGACAAUUAGUUUAAUCUACUGUAUUAUUAUUAUUAUUAGUAAUGUUUUUUUUGUGGCUCAAGGGCUCAAGGAGGGUGGCACCCUAGCGCAUGCGCAUGGGACAAGCUGCUCACGCGGGCUGUGUGGCUGCUCUAAUCUGUUAACAUGGGUGCCGAAAUGAAAACCAACAGGUUCCGUGAUGCACACAUGCUGCUCAGGUUGGCAGUGUGGUCACGCCGUUAGAUUUCGCCACAAGGUUGUGGUGGUGCAAGACACAGUGGACUGUAAGGAUAUGCGGGACCUGCUCCUUCAGCAAUAGCCCACUAUCAUUCUGGCUUGUCUUCCCAGCGAAGAGACUGCUGAUGGUGCUCCUACAUGCUUCUCUUUGACGCUCCUUGUCUGGCUUGUCCGAGUGAAUCUUCGUACAGUAAGGUGCUCCUUAAGAUGUGAGGGUUUCCUGACCUCAUUUGAAAAUACUUGUUCACACAAUAAACACAUUGGAGGUGCAUUGUGCAUUGGUGGGAGAGGUACAAAUCAAUAGCUAAGGUAUUUAAUAGAAUACUGGCUGCAUUUUUUCUUCAUCUGCGCCGUUUGCUGAUAUGUUGCUCAUGGUUUUCCAACGCGCCAUGCGAAAAGUAAAAGCCGGUUUGUUCAAUCUUUGGUGUAAACUCAGCUUAAACAAAGAACACAUCAACUCCCCCUUUGUUGUAUAACACUAACUACUUUUACUUGUCUGUAGUGAACUGAUGGUUGUUGUGUUGGUUGAGUACUGUAUUGAAGCUACUACUGUAUAUUCCUGAACUCCUGUGGCGUAUUGGUAACAAUGCUUUCUUGGCUAAUGUUAGUAGGAGCAGUAAAAAGUAUAACUACUGUAACCAUAGCAGCAUAAUGUCAAGUGGGUGUGUCCAAGGCAGCAAGGAAAAGGACUCAAAUGCAGACAACCAGGCAGACAGUAACAGUUCAGUGAUUUAUUGGUAAAAUGAUGAUACAAAAGCUUACAGGCAAAGACAGCAGUCCAAACUGAAGUAGAAGAAAGAAACCACAGGUUAACAGGAACAGGGAAGGUAAAAGCUACAGGCAGGCAGGUAAAGGCAGUAGGUGAUUUGAGGGGGGAUGCCAUCCCCCUUGUUAGCAAAGUGACCAAAAUCCAUCCCCCUUUUUAACCUGCUCAAAAGAUGCUCUGUACUUUGUCCCGCUUUUAAUAAUUGCCACAAUCUCGGAACAUGAGACAUACUGCUUUUGAACUGCCUGUGGGGAGGGUUGAACAUGUAAGAGUCUGUCCAUUCUUGAUUAAAAGCUCUGUUUCCACUGUCUACUUUUCUCUUUUUAGAGCACACCAUGUGAAAUUAUUUCUCCGACUCAUCUUGUCUCUGCUCUCCCUGUGUGUGUGUGUGUGUGUGUGUGUGUGUGUGUGUGUGUGUGUGUGUGUGUAGCCUAACUCACUCACUGACUUGACGCGCGGGCUGUUAAACCAGUGCCGUAAAGGCUAGAAAAGCUCUAAAAAUGCUCCGUCAAAAUGUAACAAUACUGAACAAUUUAUCGAUGUACUCUACAGCAGACGAGGGGAAAGAGAAAGUGUGGCAGCAGCAUGACCGAGGCCGGGUCAGAAAUUAACAGAGCUUGGACCAGAAGUGUCCUUGAAUGCUCAUGAACUUUUUUUUUUGCUGUUGUCACUUGUUAUUUUUCAAAUAAAACUAAUCUUUGUGUCAUAAA